AACAAACGCUGGCGGCGUGCCUAAUACAUGCAAGUCGAACGGGUAGCAAUACCAGUGGCGCACGGGUGAGGAAUACAUAGGUAAUCUGCCUUCGAGUCGGGGAUAACCAGUCGAAAGAUUGGCUAAUACCGGAUAAGACCACAAGAUCUGCGGAUCAAGGGGUUAAAGGUUUUUCGCUUGAAGAUGAGUCUAUGCGAGAUUAGCUAGUUGGUGAGGUAAUGGCUCACCAAGGCGACGAUCUCUAACUGGUCUUAGAGGAUGAUCAGUCACACUGGAACUGAGACACGGUCCAGACUCCUACGGGAGGCAGCAGUAGGGAAUAUUGCGCAAUGGGGGAAACCCUGACGCAGCGACGCCGCGUGAGUGAUGAAGGCCUUCGGGUCGUAAAGCUCUGUCGUAUGGGAAUAACACAAUGAAUGUACCAUGCAAGAAAGGAUCGGCUAACUUCGUGCCAGCCGCCGCAGUAA
rnacentral:rRNA from 1 species